UACGUAGGGUGCAAGCGUUAAUCGGAAUUACUGGGCGUAAAGCGAGCGCAGGCGGUUAUGUAAGACAGAUGUGAAAUCCCAGGGCUUAACCUUGGAACUGCAUUUGUGACUGCAUGGCUAGAGUGUGUCAGAGGGGGGUGGAACUCCACGUGUAGCAGUGAAAUGCGUAGAGAUGUGGAGGAACACCGAUGGCGAAGGCAGCCCCCUGGGAUAACACUGACGCUCAGGCUCGAAAGCGUGGGGAGCAAACAGG
rnacentral:rRNA from 1 species